AUAUUUAUAGCAAAUUAUACAGAGGAAGUAAUUCUUCUUGAUAAUAAACCGAUCAAAUUUCUGCCCUAUCAUACUUUGGACGGUAAUGUAGUGGAUUACGGUGGUGAUGACGGGUAACGGAGAAUUAGGGUUUGAUUCCGGAGAGGGAGCAUGAGAAAUGGCUACCACUUCCAAGGAAGGCAGCAGGCGCGUAAAUUACCCAAUCCUAAAACAGGGAGGUAGUGACGAUAAAUAACAAUGAUUCAAUGAUAACAAAGUUGAAUUAAUUGGAAUGAGAACAAUAUAAAUCCCUUAUCGAGUAACAAUUUCAGGGCAAGUUCUGGUGCCAGCAGCCGCGGUAAUUCCAGCUGAAAAAGCGUAUACGAAUAUUGUUGCAGUUAAAACGCUCGUAGUUGGAAUAAAAAAG
rnacentral:rRNA from 1 species